rnacentral:tRNA from 1 species
CUCCUGAUGGCACAGUUGGUAGCGCGUUGGACUGUAAUUGUAAUUAUCGAUAUCCACAGGUCGUGUGUUCGAAUCACACUCAGGAGA